rnacentral:rRNA from 1 species
CCUACGGGAGGCUGCAGUGGGGAAUAUUGCGCAAUGGGCGAAAGCCUGACGCAGCGACGCCGCGUGAGGGAUGAAGGCCUUCGGGUUGUAAACCUCUUUCAGCAGGGACGAAGCGCAAGUGACGGUACCUGCAGAAGAAGCGCCGGCUAACUACGUGCCAGCAGCCGCGGUAACACGUAGGGCGCAAGCGUUGUCCGGAAUUAUUGGGCGUAAAGAGCUCGUAGGCGGUCCGUCACGUCCGCUGUGAAAACCCAGGGCUCAACCCUGGGCUUGCAGUGGAUACGGGCGGACUAGAGGUAGGUAGGGGAGAAUGGAAUUCCCGGUGUAGCGGUGAAAUGCGCAGAUAUCGGGAGGAACACCGGUGGCGAAGGCGGUUCUCUGGGCCUUACCUGACGCUGAGGAGCGAAAGCGUGGGGAGCGAACAGGAUUAGAUACCCUUG